rnacentral:rRNA from 1 species
GACGAACGCUGGCGGCGUGCUUAACACAUGCAAGUCGAACGGAAAGGCCCUGCUUUUGUGGGGUGCUCGAGUGGCGAACGGGUGAGUAACACGUGAGUAACCUGCCCUUGACUUUGGGAUAACUUCAGGAAACUGGGGCUAAUACCGGAUAGGAGCUCCUGCUGCAUGGUGGGGGUUGGAAAGAUUCGGCGGUUGGGGAUGGACUCGCGGCUUAUCAGCUUGUUGGUGGGGUAGUGGCUCACCAAGGCUUUGACGGGUAGCCGGCCUGAGAGGGUGACCGGCCACAUUGGGACUGAGAUACGGACCAGACUCCUACGGGAGGCAGCAGUGGGGAAUAUUGCACAAUGGGCGGAAGCCUGAUGCAGCAACGCCGCGUGCGGGAUGACGGCCUUCGGGUUGUAAACCGCUUUCGCCUGUGACGAAGCGUGAGUGACGGUAAUGGGUAAAGAAGCAACGGCUAACUACGUG